rnacentral:rRNA from 1 species
GACGAACGCUGGCGGCGUGCCUAAUACAUGCAAGUUGAGCGAUGAAGAUUGGUGCUUGCACCAAUUUGAAGAGCAGCGAACGGGUGAGUAACGCGUGGGGAAUCUGCCUUUGAGCGGGGGACAACAUUUGGAAACGAAUGCUAAUACCGCAUAACAACUUUAAACAUAAGUUUUAAGUUUGAAAGAUGCAAUUGCAUCACUCAAAGAUGAUCCCGCGUUGUAUUAGCUAGUUGGUUAGGUAAAGGCUCACCAAGGCGAUGAUACAUAGCCGACCUGAGAGGGUGAUCGGCCACAUUGGGACUGGGACACGGCCCAAACUCCUACGGGAGGCAGCAGUAGGGAAUCUUCGGCAAUGGACGAAAGUCUGACCGAGCAACGCCGCGUGAGUGAAGAAGGUUUUCGGAUCGUAAAAAUCUGUUGGUAGAGAAGAACGUUGGUGAGAGUGGAAAGCUCAUCAAGUGACGGUAACUACCCAGAAAGGGACGGCUAACUACGUG